CGAGUUCUGCGUAGCCAUGGUGAGCUCUGUGGUCAUGUAAACAUUACACAAUGGAGAGCCCCUGCUGUCUGAGGGCAGCGGAGGCACUACCGGGCUCCUCCUCUUUGGAUUGCUCUUCCUGGGGGAGUGCUGCGCUUCAUGAAGUCACGACAGCAAGCUCUGGGGGUGCCAGCAAGCCUGCAGCCCUCUCAGAAUUAUGCUUGCAUUGCUGAGAAGAUGGGUCACAUUUCUGGGAAUCCACCCUGACCUCCUCUGGUGAUGCUUUGGCUCUCUGAGGAUAGAGACAGGGAACAAAUAGAUGCUUCUUACCCAGCUGCUGGUUCCACUUGAGGAACUUCACAGCUCUGGGUGAUUAACAAGCUCCUGGAUGCUUGCAUGUGGGGCCUUCCCUUCUGGACAGACCUCCAGGAGAUGUGGUCAGGACAAGGCGAUGGUGUGGGCAGCACCUGCUGGGGGCACUGGAGCAGGAAGGAGAAGCAGAGAAAGAACUCCGGAUCUUCCCUCAUUCCUAACAGCAGGACACAUCUCCAGCACAAGUCCUCGUUGUGCUUCUUGACUUGGGGGCAAAUGGCUUACAGGAAGAAAAAAAUACAGACAGACAUCUUUAGCCCUUCACAAGAAGAUAACUGCUGGCUGGCCUGGUGGGAAGCGACGUGCCAAGGAGAAGUAAAGCAAGAUGAAAGCUCUGCCAGCAUGUCACCGCGAGUGCUUUUGUAGAAACAGCACGAGUACGAUGAGCAAACCUUUGACUGCCUAUUGGAAACAGAUUUUUCUCGACACAGAAGCAAUCCCUUUGGAACGAGAGCCCUGACCAAAGCUGGGCGUCAGAGAAGGGCUUACAGCGAGUUGUGGGGAGGAAGGAAACCCGCCAGUGGGACAGACAGCAUUGCCUUUUGUUUUAGUUUGUAGCACUGAUUGUUGAAUGCUUUUUGAUUUCACAAGAAUCUCUGGAUUUUGUCAACUUCCUUCAGAGAUUUUGCUGGGAAAAAAUGGUAACUGUGCUUAAUGCUCUCCCUUCUCAACAAAACCACUCAACAUUUUCAUUCAAAUCAAAAUUUUCCAUGGACAGCACUGCGUGUUCCUCAACCAGCAGCAUAAACACGUUGGGUACUGCAUUACUCUCUAGAUAUUUGUAUUCCAGAGGCAAGAACUCAGGUCAGAGUCAUUUUCUGCUGGACCUCACGUAGCAAGAGACAACCUUACUCUGAGGACUUUGUAAUCAGAGUGGAAAAGACAGA
rnacentral:lncRNA from 1 species